GUGUGAGUUAAUCUGCGUCCGGUCUCGAAAACCGGUGUACCGCUCCGCGGUACCGUGGGUUCGAAUCCCACCUCCUCCG
rnacentral:tRNA from 1 species